UGGGGAAUAUUGCACAAUGGGCGCAAGCCUGAUGCAGCCAUGCCGCGUGUAUGAAGAAGGCCUUCGGGUUGUAAAGUACUUUCAGCGGGGAGGAAGGUGUUGUGGUUAAUAACCACAGCAAUUGACGUUACCCGCAGAAGAAGCACCGGCUAACUCCGUGCCAGCAGCCGCGGUAAUACGGAGGGUGCAAGCGUUAAUCGGAAUUACUGGGCGUAAAGCGCACGCAGGCGGUUUGUCAAGUCGGAUGUGAAAUCCCCGGGCUCAACCUGGGAACUGCAUCCGAAACUGGCAGGCUUGAGUCUUGUAGAGGGGGGUAGAAUUCCAGGUGUAGCGGUGAAAU
rnacentral:rRNA from 1 species